UACAGAGGGGGCAAGCGUUGUUCGGAAUUACUGGGCGUAAAGGGCGCGUAGGCGGCCUGUUAAGUCGAACGUGAAAUCCCCGGGCUCAACCCGGGAACUGCGUCCGAUACUGGCAGGCUUGAAUCCGGGAGAGGGAUGCGGAAUUCCAGGUGUAGCGGUGAAAUGCGUAGAUAUCUGGAGGAACACCGGUGGCGAAGGCGGCGAUCCUGGACCGGUAUUGACGCUGAGGCGCGAAAGCCAGGGGAGCAAACGG
rnacentral:rRNA from 1 species